rnacentral:rRNA from 1 species
UUGGAGGGCAAGUCUGGUGCCAGCAGCCGCGGUAAUUCCAGCUCCAAUAGCGUAUAUUAAAGUUGUUGCAGUUAAAAAGCUCGUAGUUGAAUUUCGGGAUUAGUACGUCGGUCGUACCUUAGGUACGUACUGGUGUUACUGGUUCCUACCUUCUGACGAACCAUCAUGUCAUUAAUUUGGUGUGGUGGGGAAUCAGGACUGUUACUUUGAAAAAAUUAGAGUGUUUAAAGCAGUCUCGCGCUUGAAUACAUUAGCAUGGAAUAAUGAAAUAGGACGUUG